CAGCGAUUAGAGACCAGGUUUUGUGUUUGUCUCUGUGUAUGUGUGUGUGUUUUGUGUGUGUGCGCUCGCGUGUAUGGGUGUGUGUGCGGCAGGGACACAAAUAUGUAAAGACCUGUAUGAUAUCAAUAAUCUUCGCCUGAUUUUUAGAGUUUAUUGGGUUGUUUGGGGUAAACUUGAGCUCUUAAACACCUGUAACACGCUGGUUGGUACCAUAACGUAGUUACAAGGUGUACGGUAGUAUUAUACUGUAACCGUAUGAACUUCUAAUCAGAUCAUUUCAGUACAGGAAACCAGAAACAUGUACAGGGAGGUCCGAAAGUCUUGUCACCCCCUACCAAAAAGUAAUAAGAACGAAAGAGGAACAAUAUAAUAAUAUCAAACAUGUCCUAGUUUUAGUAUAUUCAUUUCCAUUGAUACUGACACUGUCACACAUCGAGGUCUGUAUAAACACCAUCAUUUUCGUGGCACAAAAUGUCCCGUGUGAUAUUUUACGAAGUUGUUGGUGUUCAUACAGAUGUGUAACAGUGAAAGUGAAUAUACUAAAACAAGUAAAUGUGUCUGAUAAAACAAGUGCAUGUGUCUGACGCUAUUGUUCAGUGACCGGAAGUGUCUGACGUGUGGGUUUAUGCCGAACAACUGAUGUCAGGUGGAGGAAGAGUACAGCUGUCGACUGAAUCUAUAGUGAAAAUUAACCCAUCGGAUUUCUUAACGAAAGAAGGAGAAAAAAUGGAAGAAAAUAUGCGACGCUAUCAUCUUUUACUUGAAAAAAAAAGUGUAUAAAAAGACUCGCAUACCCUUUGCUCUAACUGAUUCUAUCAAGAAACAGAGAAUUUCUCCAUUCUAAGCAAGCUAGAUUUAUCUAUUUAUUUAUUUAUUUAUUUAUUUAUUUAUGCGUAUACGUAUAUGUGUGAUAGUUUUUUUGAAGUUGUUUCUGUAGAGUACAUUGAAGAGGAGGAGAAGAAGAAGGUGGAGGAGACGAAUGAGGGGAAGUCGAAUUAUAAAUAUACAAUAUACUUGACUGCGAGCUAUUUUUAUUUUUAUUUUCAUUUAUCGUUUUAGUCAUU